GGCGCUAUAGCCAAGUGGUUACGGCGACAGAUUAGAAUGGAAACAUUGAUCUGUUCCUCUUUGAGGGCGCAGGUUCAAAUCCUGCUGGCGUCG